CCUACGGGGGGCAGCAGUGGGGAAUAUUGCACAAUGGGGGAAACCCUGAUGCAGCGACGCCGCGUGAGUGAAGAAGUAAUUCGUUAUGUAAAGCUCUAUCAGCAGGGAAGAAAAUGACGGUACCUGAGUCAGAAGCCCCGGCUAACUACGUACCAGCAGCCGCGGUAAUACGGAGGGGGCAAGCGUUAUCCGGAUUUACUGGGUGAAAAGGGAGCGUAGACGGCAGUGCAAGUCUGGCGUGAAAGGCGGGGGCUCAACCCCCGGACUGCUCUGGAAACUGUACGGCUGGAGUGCAGGAGAGGUGAGUGGAAUUCCUAGUGUAGCGGUGAAAUGCGUAGAGAUUAGGAGGAACACCAGUGGCGAAGGCGGCUUACUGGACUGUAACUGACGUUGAGGCUCGAAAGCGUGGGGAGCAAACAGGAUUAGAUACCCCUGUAGUC
rnacentral:rRNA from 1 species